AAAGCGCACGUAGGCGGAUCUUUAAGUCAGGGGUGAAAUCCCGAGGCUCAACCUCGGAACUGCCUUUGAUACUGGGGAUCUUGAGUUCGGGAGAGGUGAGUGGAACUGCGAGUGUAGAGGUGAAAUUCGUAGAUAUUCGCAAGAACACCAGUGGCGAAGGCGGCUCACUGGCCCGAAACUGACGCUGAGGUGCGAAAGCGUGGGGAGCAAACAGGAUUAGAUACCCUUGU
rnacentral:rRNA from 1 species